rnacentral:rRNA from 1 species
CGCCUGGGGAGUACGACCGCAAGGUUGAAACUCAAAGGAAUUGACGGGGGCCCGCACAAGCGGUGGAGCAUGUGGUUUAAUUCGAAGCAACGCGAAGAACCUUACCAGGUCUUGACAUCCUUUGACCACUCUAGAGAUAGAGCUUUCCCUUCGGGGACAAAGUGACAGGUGGUGCAUGGUUGUCGUCAGCUCGUGUCGUGAGAUGUUGGGUUAAGUCCCGCAACGAGCGCAACCCUUAUUGUUAGUUGCCAUCAUUUAGUUGGGCACUCUAGCGAGACUGCCGGUGACAAACCGGAGGAAGGUGGGGAUGACGUCAAAUCAUCAUGCCCCUUAUGACCUGGGCUACACACGUGCUACAAUGGGAAGUACAACGAGUCGCUAGACCGCGAGGUCAUGCAAAUCUCUUAAAGCUUCUCUCAGUUCGGAUUGCAGGCUGCAACUCGCCUGCAUGAAGCCGGAAUCGCUAGUAAUCGCGGAUCAGCACGCCGCGGUGAAUACGUUCCCGGGCCUUGUACACACCGCCCGUCACACCACGAGAGUUUGUAACACCCGAAGUCGGUGAGGUAACCUUUUUGGAGCCAGCCGCCUAAGGUGGGAUAGAUGAUUGGGGUGAAGUCGUAACAAGGUAGCCGUAUCGGAAGGUGCGGCUGGAUCACCUCCUUUCUAAGGAA